rnacentral:rRNA from 1 species
AUUGAACGCUGGCGGCAGGCCUAACACAUGCAAGUCGAACGAGUGGCGGACGGGUGAGUAAUGUCUGGGAAACUGCCUGAUGGAGGGGGAUAACUACUGGAAACGGUAGCUAAUACCGCAUACCAUCAGAUGUGCCCAGAUGGGUUUAGCUAGUUGGUGGGGUAACGGCUCACCAAGGCGACGAUCCCUAGCUGGUCUGAGAGGAUGACCAGACAAACUGGAACUGAGAGACAGGCCAGAAUCCUAAGGGAGGCAGCAGUGGGGAAUAUUGCACAAUGGGCGCAAGCAGCAUGAAGCCAUGAAGCGUGUAUGAAGAAGGCCUUCGGGUUGUAAAGUACUUUCAGCGGGGAGGCGUUAACCGAAGAAGAAGCACCGGCUAACUCCGUGCCAGCAGCCGCGGUAAUUC